GACGAACGCUGGCGGCGUGCCUAAUACAUGCAAGUCGAACGCACUCUCGUUAGAUUGAAGAAGCUUGCUUCUGAUUGAUAACAUUUGAGUGAGUGGCGGACGGGUGAGUAACACGUGGGUAACCUGCCCUAAAGUGGGGGAUAACAUUUGGAAACAGAUGCUAAUACCGCAUAAAACCUAGCACCGCAUGGUGCAAGGUUGAAAGAUGGUUUCGGCUAUCACUUUAGGAUGGACCCGCGGUGCAUUAGUUAGUUGGUGAGGUAAAGGCUCACCAAGACCGUGAUGCAUAGCCGACCUGAGAGGGUAAUCGGCCACACUGGGACUGAGACACGGCCCAGACCCCUACGGGAGGCAGCAGUAGGGAAUCUUCCACAAUGGACGAAAGUCUGAUGGAGCAACGCCGCGUGAGUGAAGAAGGUUUUCGGAUCGUAAAACUCUGUUGUUGGAGAAGAACGUAUUUGAUAGUAACUGAUCAGGUAGUGACGGUAUCCAACCAGAAAGCCACGG
rnacentral:rRNA from 1 species